rnacentral:lncRNA from 1 species
AGCAGCAGCCAGCUUCGUGCUUCACCUUCAAGUGCCCCUUUACUGUAUGCAAGCACCUGUGGAGGCUAAAAUCACCUGAAGGUGAUUGCCUGGACAACCAGCACUGAGUAAGCAAGGUCAAAGAGACGCACUACGUGCAUGGAGCAAAAGAUACUGAAGUUUCUGGCAUUACUUAGCUCUUUUGGAAACCUGUUCUUCGUUUCAUGAAGAAGUCUUGAAUACCCCACAAGAGGCCCCAUCUCUCGUGCAGAUGAACUCUCACCUUUCUAUGGAGUGUCCUGUCGGGACAGAGAGCUGUAAUUGAUGAUUAUGGUCUUCAUCCUGGAUGCAUAUGUUAAAAUCUUGAACUCUGAAGGGCAUGCCCUCCUCAGUGAAAUGAGGUAACUGAUGGUAAUUGCUGAAUAAGGAAUUUUGGACUGCGCCAUAGAAUAAACUCCAAGUGGCCCUCCA